UACGUAGGGGGCGAGCGUUAUCCGGAAUUAUUGGGCGUAAAGAGCUCGUAGGCGGCUUGUUGCGUCGACCGUGAAAACCCGGGGCUCAACUUCGGGCUUGCGGUCGAUACGGGCGGGCUAGAGUUCGGUAGGGGAGACUGGAAUUCCUGGUGUAGCGGUGAAAUGCGCAGAUAUCAGGAGGAACACCGGUGGCGAAGGCGGGUCUCUGGGCCGAUACUGACGCUGAGGAGCGAAAGCGUGGGGAGCGAACAGG
rnacentral:rRNA from 1 species